CUCAGCAAAACGGAACUGCCAAGCACUGGUAUCAGGGACUUGGGAUGGCCUGAACCAUCGCAGCCCUGAGUCAUAUGACACAGCAGUUUUCUUCAGCCCUGCCCGUGAGGUAGGAGACUGUCAGGUUGGUUCAGCUCCAACCAUCUCAGCUCCUUCAUGAUUGUUUCGUCAUCAUCACCAUCGUCACUGUCAUCAUCAUCAUCAUCACCACCAGUGAUUUCCUGAAUGCCAACCAAGCACCAGUCAUCAAGCGUGAGCCACGGUGCAAAGAUGGAGGCAGGCUCUCCAUUCUAAGGGAACCUCUCAGGCCAGUAGGGAAGGCAAGAUUCAGACACCAGGGACAGGCAGCCUGGGAUGACAGGUGGAACAAGGAGGAGACACAAGAACCCCCACCCCAACCCAGGAACCCACAUCACAGGCCAGACCUGCAUGAUCGCCAGGCACCCGACUCGGGUUAUGAAGGUGUCUCUCCUAAGAGAGUGGCAGAGGCAAACUUUAGCCUUGGCAGUGCGCCUCAAGCUGCUCAGGGGAGAAGUCACGGCCAAAGCCCUGGAGUGCAUGGGUUCUUUAGCCAUGGUUCUCCUGCAGCUUCCUCUGAUAUUAUGAAGCGCCUGCCGCCACCAGGCUUGUUCUGACUCCCUUCCAUGAUCCACCCUUCUGAGUGGGGUUUGGCUUCUGUACAGCUCUCCUGUGGGCACUGAGCCCACUAGUCAGAGCAAGAGGGCUCCAGUCUCUGGACAGUCACAGUGCUUGGUGGCAAAACAUAAAUUGUCAUUCAUUCAUGCCUUGUUUCUGUCAUUCACUCAUUCAUUCAGCAGAUACUUAACUGAACACCUGCUCUGGGCCAGGUAUUAUUCACACCACUGGGAAUACAGUGGUGCCAACACAGGUCCCUCCCUGACUUCAUGGGGCUAACAUUCCAGUGGGAGUGACAGAAAAGAUCCACAAAAUAACAUCACAUUGUGAAAAGUGCUAUGAAAGUGAAGGACGUAAGCACAGUAAUAUUAGUAAUAGAGUAGAGAGUGAGGAGGUGGUGAGCAAAGGCCUCAUAGAGGGAGUAACAUUUUUUCUUUAAUUUGAUGUAUACUUUACAUAUAGUAAAGUGCACAAAUCUUUUCUUUUUUUUUUUCUUUUUUUUUUUUUUUUUUUUUUGAGACAGAGUCUUGCUCUGUCGCCCAGGCUGGAGUGCAAUGGUAUGAUCUCGGUUCACUGUAACCUCCGCCUCCUGGGUUCAAGUGACUCUCCUGCCUCAGCCUCCCGAGUAGCUGAGACAAGAGGCUUGUGCCACCAUACCCGGCUAACUUUUGUAUUUUUAGUAGAGACGGGGUUUCACUAUGUUGGCCAGGCUGGUCUCGAACUCCUGACCUUGUGAUCCGCCCUCAUCAGCCUCCCAAAGUGUUGGGAUUACAGGCGUGAACCACUGCACCUGGCCAUGCACAAAUCUUUAAUGUACAACUUGGUGAGUUUUUCAAUUUGCGUAUGUCAGACUCUCAACCUCUGUACUGCAGACAUUGGGGCCAUUUGUCCUGGGGACUGUCUUUCUUGUUUGUCUUUUUUUUUUUUUUUUUUUUUUGAGAUGGAGUAUUGCUUUAUCGCCCAGGCUGGAGUGCCCUGGCAUGAUCUCGGCUCACUGCAACCUCCGCCUCUUAGGUUCAAGCAGUUCUCCUGCCUCAGCCUCCUGAGUAGCUGGGAUUACAGGCACACACCACCAUACCUGGCUGAUUUUUGUAUCUUUAGUAGAGACAGGGUUUCACUGUAUUGGUCAGGCUGGUCUCAAACUCCUGACCUCGUGAUCUGCCCACCUCAGCCUCCCAAAGUACUGGGAUUACAGGCGUGAGCCAUCGCGCUCGGCCCCGUCUUGUGUAUUAUAGGAUGUUUAGCAGCAUACCUGGCCUCUACCCACUAAAUGUCAGUAACAUUCCUCCCCACACAGUUGUGACCAUCAAAAAUGUCCCCAGACAUUGCCAUAUAUCUUCUGGGAGGCGAAAUCGCCACUGUUGAAAGCCACUGGCAUAUGCCAUGUAGCCAGCACUCAGCUCAAGAUACAGGUUAUUUCCACAUGGAGGGGUUGGCGUUUGAGCUGACACCCAACAGCUAAGAAGCUGCCUCCAAUUCAGAGAACUGGGGAAGGAAUGUUCCAAGGGGAGAGAGCAUAGGCAAAGGCCCUGAGGUGGGAAUGAGCGUGGCACAUUUGAGGAAGUGUGGCUGGUCCGUGGUGACAAGGGAAAGGCAUCUGAGGAGGUUGAAGAGACAGGCUGGGCCCUAUUGAGCAGGGGCUUUGUGGGAUACGGUUAGGAGUCUGACAUUUCAAAGAACGUUUGUGAGUAUGUAAUAUGUACCUGGCACUAUGCCAGACACUGGAGAGUUGAAGAUGAAUAAAUUAAAUCCUUGGCCCUA